AAUUGCUAUGGGCCCCUUUCCCGCUCUUCAACUUUCCUUUAAUUUCUCCUCAGGGGGGAGUACUUUCUCUAAUUUCGACAUCCAGCGAAUCCUUUACAGAUAAAGGUGUGCCUUCGGGAACGCUGAGACAGGGCCUGCUUGGCUGUCGUCAGCUCGUGUUGUGAAAUGUUGGGUUAAGUCCCGCAACGAGCGCAACCCUUAUCCUUUGUUGCCAGCACGUUAUGGUGGGAACUCAAAGGAGACUGCCGGUGAUAAACCGGAGGAAGGUGGGGAUGACGUCAAGUCAUCAUGGCCCUUACGAGUAGGGCUACACACGUGCUACAAUGGCAGAUACAAAGAGAAGCGACCUCGCGAGAGCAAGCGGAACUCAUAAAGUCUGUCGUAGUCCGGAUUGGAGUCUGCAACUCGACUCCAUGAAGUCGGAAUCGCUAGUAAUCGUAGAUCAGAAUGCUACGGUGAAUACGUUCCCGGGCCUUGUACACACCGCCCGUCACACCAUGGGAGUGGGUUGCAAAAGAAGUAGGUAGCUUAACCUUCGGGAGGGCGCUUACCACUUUGUGAUUCAUGACUGGGGUGAAGUCGUAAUCUUGGAGAUUGCCCU
rnacentral:rRNA from 1 species